CAACCAGGUCUAGAACCCAAACCUUCAACCCCUGAGCUUUCCUGCCUUCGAGUCCUCGGAGCUCUCCUGGAGGCUGAGCAGGCAACAGAGCCUGCUCCUCAGCUGGAUGUGGCCCGUGGGAGGUGGAGAAACUGAGGCUCAGAUAAAUGACUAAGAAGUAAAGUGAGGUCCCAUAGCCAGUGAAUGGCAGAGCAGGGAUUCGAACCCAGGUCUCUCAUCUGGGAAGUGGGAUGAUAGCGCCAACCUAGCUGGAUUGCUGUGACUGCCAGCACAAUGCCUUCUAAGGGUUCAAGAUGAGAUUACUUAGUCCCAGAUGGGUUAAGUAACUGGCCCAAGGUCACAGCGCUGGUAAGCAACUGGGCUUCAAUCCAACCAUCCUGACUCCAGAAGCCUCUUUGAACUACCACCUUCUGCACCUGCCCCAGGGCUUCUUCGCCUGAGCCGGUGCCUUGCUGCCGCCCUGCUCAUCUCUUCUGGGAAGAUGCCUCUCAUCUUGCCAGUCCUCAAGCCAGAAGCCUCCGGUGCUGCCCUAGGGCUCCCUGAAUAGGCAUCCCUAAGGCAUCCCUCCUGGUGUUCAAACCACAUCCUUCCUGGCUAAGCUUCCAUUCCCCAGGGUAGCCCUCCACACUUUGGAGCCUCAGCUCACCUCUCACUCUCACACUUCAGUUUCACACUUCCCUUCUGAAUGGUCCCACCUCUGUGCUUUUGCUUAAGCUGUGCACACUUCCCAGAGUGCUCUUUCCCCUAUGUCUGCCUGUGCUCCAAUACCCUAUGCCUGAGCUGACCCAUGACAUACAAGCACCUACAGAGGCCUGGGGGAAGGAGGCAGUGGUAUGUGUGUCAGUGUGGGGAGUCAGUGAAGAGGUUUGGGGCUUUAGGGUCAGUUAUGUGACUUCAGGGCAAGUCCCCAUCUCCCUGAACCCCAGUUUCUGCAAAAUGAAGAUAUCCAUCCCAGCUUCUCCCAAGGUUUAUAAUGGUAAUCUGUGAGGUUCUGGCACAUGAUGAAUCCAUAACUACCCGUUGUGACAAGUUCCCCACUUGUGAAGUCAAAUGAAGACCCCCUGGUGUUGACAGUGCAGGAAAACCUGUGCCCGAGCACCUUGUCCCUAGGGAGAACCCUACCUUCAGUGCCUCUCUGAACAACAGGGCCAGGAAGGGGUCACUGUAUAGCAGUUGGUCCCUAGUGACCAGUCCUGGCAGAGGGCCUUUAUCCCACUUCCAGUAGCCCAGCACCAACCAUCCCCAGCUCUGGGAGGGGGUGGGCAGCACCCUCCUUCCUCCACAUUGUUGCCACCUCAGAGAGUCAGAAUCCAGGGAGACAGUCUCCUGGCAGCGGAGCUCCUGCUGCCCGCCAUGGGUGUCUGUGAUGCUGCCGUGCCCACUGGGGGCUGCAGGCACUCCAGCAUCAGGAUGGACUAAAUCUCGGGAGUGGGAAGGGGACUCCAGCCAGGGGCACUGGAGACAGGGCCAGCCUGAGUGCCUGCUUCUCCCAGGGGCAGGUGCCAGCAUGGUGCACCCCUCAAGGAGUGUGGCAGGUAAGAUUGAGGUCCUGGCUGCCCCAGGCUCCUGUGCCAUCGAGAGGGAAAGCACCUGGAACAGGUAUACAGUAGAUGCUUAGUGAUGAGGAGAAUCUUCACUUGGUGGAAUUCUGAACACUUUGGGUACCACCAGAGUCAGAAUUCCCAGAGGAGGAGGCAGGCAUUUGAUAACGGAUGUCUGGAGGAUAUAGCAUGUUCAACCUUCCCCUCUCCAUGAGAGGAAGUGGUGACCUCAACCCCAGCACCCUCCUCUGCCCAUUCACACCCACCCACUCCCACCUCUCUGCCAGCCUCAGUUGGAUGUGGAGCAGAAUGUAAUGAGGACUUACCUGUCCACAAGGACUUCACAACUGUUCCAAGGCGAUGGAUGGGCAGGUGCUAACGCAGCCCCUCAGUGUCCCCCUUCCCUUGCUUUUGGGGUGGGCUUGGGGCCCCCGGGGGGUCCUAACUCACUGAAGAUACCAGGGCCCAGCUUCUGAGUAUUCCUAGAGGCCAUUUCUACCCCUAGAAACUUUACAUGGAGCCAAAAGCCCAUUUGAAGCUCAGUCUGGGCCAGGAGAGGCUAAUCAUAAAAGGGAUAUUUUUUAAGUGUACAGAAAUAAGAAUUUAUUUUUGAAGACAUGAUUUAUAUUUUGAAUGGCUAAUGCACUCACAUGAUUCAAAAUUCAAAAUUCCAAAAGAACCGACAGUGCAAAGUCGCUCCUCCUUUGGUCCCCACCACCCAGUUUCCCUCUGCAGAGGGAACCUUGUUGCCAGUUCUUGUGUAUUCUUCCAGAGAUCUUCUAUGUAUAAACCGUCAUCCUCCU
rnacentral:lncRNA from 1 species